rnacentral:misc_RNA from 1 species
GAUGAGAACGUAGUGAAAUGCGAUACUUGGUGUGAAUUGCAGAAUCCCGUGAACCAUCGAGUCUUUGAACGCAAGUUGCGCCCGAAGCCAUUAGGCCGAGGGCACGCCUGCCUGGGCGUCACACGUCGUUGCCCCCCCAUCUAAUCCUUCGGGAUUGCGGGGGGCGGAUGAUGGCCUCCCGUGCGCCUCGUCGCGCGGUUGGCAUAAAUGCCAAGUCCUCGGCGACGCACGCCACGACAAUCGGUGGUUGCGAAACCUCGGUUGCCCGUUGUGUGCGGUCGUCGCGCAUCGAGGGCUCGAAAAAAUUGCCGGGCUCCGGCUCGACUUUCAACGCGACCCCAGGUCAGGCGGGGUUACCCGCUGAAUUUAAGCAUAUCAAUAAGCGGAGGA